GCGGUCUGGCGAGGCCCCGAGCGUCCCCGGCGCCGCCGACGGCCACGAAGCGCACUCGAGGGGGGUCGAGGAGCCCACCUCCGCCCGUGCAGUCGCUGUGUGCAGGUGUGCUCCACAGGACAGCGAGGCUGUGACAGGAGGCUGCAGCAGGAGAUGUGCCCUCCUCCCUGGCAUGGACCUGCUCGGGGACAUGCGCUGUGGCAGCCAGCCAGGACCUCACUGCAUCACCACUCCAGUACCUGGCAGCGAGCCCCGACCCGCCAGGUGCGAAACCACCAGUGAACCCUCGCCAGCUCUGCCGUGGGCCUCUCGCAGCCAUCCCAGGAGGUCCCUCAGGACUGGGUCGACAGGACAUGGCAGCACAUAGCAACCGCAUAAGACACAGUCCCGCGGCUCCCCCAGGUUCCUCCCACAGGACAGGACCACUGCCGUCACGAACAGGAUCACCCCCAGGCUCCAUAAUGUCAGCCUCGAAAGCAUCGGAGCCCUCUUGCCAGAACACUUCUAGGGCACAGUACUGUGGGGUUCUGUGAAACCUCCUCACCAGUUUUCCCUCAGGCAGUCAGCAGCUGAGGCCAAGGUCAGCCAAUUUGAUGUUCAAAUGGGAACCCAACAAUGGCUUGUUCAGGUCCUUACGCGCCUCGCGGUUCGCAUGGCAGGAGUCUUCAGCCGACGGGUCUGGCUAAACAGGGACUUGGCUUCAUCCUCCUGUGGGCGCCCUGCCCCAUCAUGCAAUUCCAGAGAUCACCCCUGCAUGUGGGCUCCAGUACCAGGAACACGUGCUUGGUUGUGUGCCUCACCCUCAGGAGACUCUACAGCACGGCCACUUCUCUCUUCAGCUGCCACGAACGGGAGGGCUUGCUGUGAUUUCCCAGGAGCAAUGUCCCAGCCACAGGCUUCCCAGUCACCACACGGGGAGCAUCACGGGGAGCUACCCUGGCCAACGAGGGCAGGACGUGGUACCCGUCCUGAGCGUUACAUGAUGGAAAGCCUCAGGGCCUUCCCCCCUGGCAUCCACCUAACCACUCUCUCUAAACCACUCUCUCUGAACUACUCUCUCAACGAUGCUAGUUAAUCAACUACCCUACUAGGAUACCUAUAGAACAAACAGAUACCAAGGGUACUGACUGCCAGUGUGGCUCUCUGCAGUACUAGUUAUCCCAUAUACACUAACAAUACUAAGCAGCAGGACUAAGUGCUACCUAAAUAAAACGGGAAACUGCAAAGAAAAAAACCCACUCCAUAACUACACUAAUACUGAGAAAUCUAACAGUGCUGUUUAACUAAACAUGAAGGGGAAGGGGAAAAAACCUGCCCAAAAUGGGCAAAAAAAAAGUAGGUAGAAAAAAAAAUGGGAAAAAGAAUAAACAAAAUAGACCAGAAACAAACAAUACCAACGAGCUUAAACACUAGGUUAGAUGGAUCCAAGACACACAGGUCACAAAAAAUGGCUCCUUGGGUAAUAGACCAGAAACAAUACCAACGAGCAUAAACACUAGAUCAGAUGGGUCCAAGACACACAGGUCACCAAAAACAGCUCCUUGGGUAAGACAAAAAAGUUGGACUGAGUCUAUGCAGCUUAUGUAGGCUUGUGGAAUGACAUAACGGUAGUGGCUCCCUAUGAAGUCGGAGCAAGACACGGACUAACAGCCCUGGCAGGGACUUGCAUGCAUCUGUAAUUCCUAACAGUGGGUUCUUAGGAAGUCAGCACAAGAAAUGCUCAGAUCACAGCAGCAGAUAAUCCACAGGGGUUUUCUCAAGAACCUUCCACUUAAAUAAAAAUGGAGCAAAGGUUUUUACUUAGAUUGU